rnacentral:lncRNA from 1 species
AAGUGAAGUCUUAAAACAUUACGAAGAAAUGAAAGAAAAAGGCCUUCCGGAACACUCAACUCAUCAAAUUGGAUUUCAGCAUGAUUAUAUAGAACGGCUGUGGGCUCAAACUAGAAUGAUCAUGGAGAAGAACAUAAAAGACAUGAUUGAAUACUUGAUUCAUUGUUUGAUGACAGCUGGUUUAGAUGGGUAUAUGGAUUUGUUCUCCCAGAAAUAUGGGAUGUAAUAAUUAUAUAAUCACAUUAAGCCCAUGUUUAGAGUAAUGAUGCCAAUUGAAUGUAACAAAACUGACUUGAUGAGUUCUCUUUGUGGGAAAUGCAAACUCUAGUGAGACCAUUUCGAAGACAAAGUUGCAGAUUACAUUUAUUAAAAUGAUAUACACCAUUGUUGAUGAAUUGGAGGCUGAGAGCGGAUGUGUCUGACAUGGAAAAAGAAACCAGUUUGCGUUGUCGCCGAUAAGACCGCUCGCCUGAGAAGACGAGUUGGGUGUGGUCGGAAAUGUGAGAUGAGAUCAGAGGCGUCUCUGAGAAUUCACGUACCCUGUUCGAGAUUGAAAAAAUGUGUCAUUCUGUUAUGUUUUGUUAUUAUUUAAAAAAGAUCAAAUCAGUAUUGGGCUUAAUAAACCUAAUUCCAAGUGGACUAAAUUCUAAACCAUAAAAUGAUUUGUAAAUUGGCCUAUAUCGAAAGUAGUAUGUGUUAACUAUUUAAAAAAAUAACAUAUACGUAUCGGAUUUUUUUUAAAUCGCAUGCCCUCGAAAUUGUGGGCCUUUUAUGGAGAUUCUCCCCGCACACCAUCAAAGCCUCCCAUGGAUAAGAUGUUGUGCUAGUGGGUGCCACUAGUCUCUAUAUUAUAUUAUUAACUUAUUAUAAAUAUAAAUUGAAAAUUGGGUCUCACUAUUUUAUUUUUUGUUUGAUUUAAAUAGCAAGGGCAGUUUAGUCAUUUUACACCCAUUUAACAUCAAAAACUAACCUCCAUCCUCUUCAGGGGCUAUCCGGGAACGAAAUUGCAAAAGUUGAGGACUAUAACUGUAAUUUUAGAAAGUUGGUGAUUAAAGGUGAAAAAUGGAUAAACCAGGUCGGGGUAGGAUCGAUAUCCAAUAAUACUGAUGCUUUAGCUGACCUGCUUGAAGCAGUAAAGAGUAUGGAGCUGCACUCUACAAUGAUAUGGAGAUUCACUCUACAAUGAAUGGCAUACAACUUUUUAAGACACCAACAUAUGGUACAAGUGGACUAUACUACUUUCAUAAAAAAAGAUUUGGCAAAGGUUAAACGCGGCCCUUUGUUCAUGGAAGGACUCCCACAGAAAUAGAGCUCGACUCUUUCCAUGUCGUCCUUAUUACGGGAAUAUAUGUUUAUCCGGGGGCCCAUUAGUUAUAAGUGUUCAAAUAAAAAAAUUCACAUGGAGAAGAUUGGGGUAACAAGGGAUGUAGUUGGGUCAAUCCGAAUGUCUUCAUAGAUAUUGGUGUACCUGAUAUGCGGUCUUGUGAUACCGUGAAAAAAAGGGGAAAAAGAUACCGGGACCUCACAAGGUAUUGUUCAA